GUUGGGAUGGUGUAACGGUAACAUUUCGGUCUCCAAAACCGACGAUCUGAGUUCGAGUCUCAGUCCCUUCGCCA
rnacentral:tRNA from 1 species